rnacentral:rRNA from 1 species
AUUGAACGCUGGCGGCAUGCUUUACACAUGCAAGUCGAACGGUAACAGGCCAUCGUGUGCUGACGAGUGUCGGACGGGGGAGUAAGGCAUCGGAACGGGCACAGUGGUUGUGGGUAACGCAUCGAAAGCGGUGCUAAUACCUCAUGUGAUCUGAUGUUUUGAACGGGGGAGCUAGCAGCAAUGUUUGGCCUCGCGCCUCUGGAGCAGCCGAUGUCGGAUUAGGUAGUUGGUGGGGUAAGGGCCUACCAAGCCGACGAUCUGUAGCUGGUCUGAGAGGACGACCGGCCACACUGGAACUGAGACACGGCCCAGACUCCUACGGGAGGCAGCAGUGGGGAAUCUUGGACAAUGGGCGAAAGCCUGACGGAGCAACGCCGCGUGAGGGAAGAAGGCCUUCGGGUUGUAAAACGCUUUUGUACGGAACGAACAGGCUCUGGAUAAUCUGUGGGGAUGAUGACGGUACCGUAAGAAUAAGCACCGGCUAACUACGUG